rnacentral:rRNA from 1 species
CCUACGGGUGGCUGCAGUAAGGAAUAUUGGUCAAUGGACGGAAGUCUGAACCAGCCAUCCCGCGUGCAGGAAGAAGGUCCUAUGGAUUGUAAACUGCUUUUAGCAGAGACGAAACGCCUUCAUUUAUGGGGGUUUGACGGUAUCUGCGGAAUAAGCACCGGCUAACUCCGUGCCAGCAGCCGCGGUAAUACGGAGGGUGCAAGCGUUAUCCGGAAUAACGGGUGUUUAGGCGUGCGAAGAAGUCAGAUUUGAAAGCCUGUAGCUUAACUACAGAAUUGCCAUUGAUACUGAUUUUCUUGAAUUGGGUUGAGGUUAGCGGAAUGUGACAUGUAACGGUGAAAUGUUUAGAUAUGUCAUGGAACACCGAUUGCGAAGGCAGCUAGCUGGGCCUUGAUUGACGCUGAGGCACGAAAGCGUGGGUAGCGAACAGGAUUAGAUACCCUAGUAGUC